GACGGACGCUGGCGGUAUGCUUAACACAUGCAAGUCGAACGAGACGAAGAUGAAGUGCUUGCACGGAUUCUUUAGAAAGUGGCGAACGGGUGAGUAACGCGUGGGUAACCUGCCCUAUGGAAGGGAAUAGCCUCGGGAAACUGGGAGUAAUGCCUUAUAAGAUACAUUUGUCGCAUGGCAGAAGUAUUAAACGCUCCGGUGCCAUAGGAUGGACCCGCGUCCCAUUAGCUAGUUGGUGAGAUAACAGCCCACCAAGGCGACGAUGGGUAACCGGUCUGAGAGGAUGAUCAGGCACACUGGAACUGAGAGACGGUCCAAACUCCUACGGGAGGCAGCAGUGGGGAAUAUUGCGCAAUGGAGAAGAACUCUGACGCAGCAAUACCGCGUGAGCGAAGAAGGUCUUCGGAUCGUAAAGCUCUGUUAUCAGGGAAGAAGAAAAUGACGGUACCUGAUGAGCAAGUCCCGGCUAACUACGUGCCAGCAGCCGCCGUAA
rnacentral:rRNA from 1 species